rnacentral:rRNA from 1 species
UACGGAGGGUGCAAGCGUUAUCCGGAUUCACUGGGUUUAAAGGGUGCGUAGGCGGGCAGGUAAGUCCGGGGUGAAAUCUCUGAGCUUAACUCAGAAACUGCCAUGGAUACUAUUUGUCUUGAAUAUUGUGGAGGUAAGCGGAAUAUGUCAUGUAGCGGUGAAAUGCUUAGAUAUGACAUAGAACACCAAUUGCGAAGGCAGCUUACUACACAGUUAUUGACGCUGAGGCACGAAAGCGUGGGAUCAAACAGG